rnacentral:tRNA from 1 species
GUGGAUGUAGCUCAGUGGCAGAGCACAUGCUUAGCUUGCAUGAGGUCUUGGCUUCAAUCCCCAGUACUUACA